GGCCCCGCACAAGCGGUGGAGCAUGUGGCUUAAUUCGAGGCAACGCGAAGAACCUUACCUGGUCUUGACAUGCCCGUCAUAGUUUUCCGAAAGGAAUUCGUCAGUUCGGCUGACGGUGCACAGGUGCUGCAUGGCUGUCGUCAGCUCGUGUCGUGAGAUGUUCGUUAAGUCCGGCAACGAGCGCAACCCUCGUUUCCAGUUGCCAGCGGGUAAUGCCGGGGACUCUGGAAAGACAAACCCUCUUGUUGAGGUGGGAAGGUGGGGACGACGUCAAGUCAGUAUGGCCCUUACGACCAGGGCUGCACACGUGCUACAAUGCCCGGUACAAUGGGAUGCAAUAUCGCGAGAUU
rnacentral:rRNA from 1 species